rnacentral:rRNA from 1 species
UAAUGUGAAUUGCAGAAUUCAGUGAAUCAUCGAAUCUUUGAACGCACAUUGCGCCCUGUGGUAUUCCGCAGGGCAUGCCUGUUCGAGCGUCAUUU